AUUGAACGCUGGCGGCAGGCCUAACACAUGCAAGUCGAGCGGUAGCACAGAGAGCUUGCUCUCGGGUGACGAGCGGCGGACGGGUGAGUAAUGUCUGGGAAAAUGCCUGAUGGAGGGGGAUAACUACUGGAAACGGUAGCUAAUACCGCAUAAUGUCGCAAGACCAAAGAGGGGGACCUUCGGGCCUCAUGCCAUCAGAUGUGCCCAGAUGGGAUUAGCUAGUAGGUGGGGUAACGGCUCACCUAGGCGACGAUCCCUAGCUGGUCUGAGAGGAUGACCAGCCACACUGGAACUGAGACACGGUCCAGACUCCUACGGGAGGCAGCAGUGGGGAAUAUUGCACAAUGGGCGCAAGCCUGAUGCAGCCAUGCCGCGUGUGUGAAGAAGGCCUUCGGGUUGUAAAGCACUUUCAGCGGGGAGGAAGGCGUUAAGGUUAAUAGCCUUGGCGAUUGACGUUACCCGCAGAAGAAGCACCGGCUAACUCCGUGCCAGCCGCCGCAGUAA
rnacentral:rRNA from 1 species